rnacentral:rRNA from 1 species
GAUAAAAGACUACUUUCGUCAUGAAAGAAGUUUAAAAGGACGGCGUAAGCUGUCGCUAAAGGGAUGGACCUGCGAUGCAUUAGCUAGUUGGUAAGGUAACGGCUUACCAAGGCGAUGAUGCAUAGCCCGAGUUGAGAGACUGAUCGGCCACAUUGGGACUGAGACACGGCCCAAACUCCUACGGGAGGCAGCAGUAGGGAAUCUUCCACAAUGGACGAAAGUCUGAUGGAGCAACGCCGCGUGAGUGAAGAAGGUUUUCGGAUCGUAAAGCUCUGUUGUUGGUGAAGAAGGAUAGAGGUAGUAACUGGCCUUUAUUUGACGGUAAUCAACCAGAAAGUCACGGCUAACUACGUGCCAGCAGCCGCGGUAAU